rnacentral:rRNA from 1 species
UACGUAGGGCGCAAGCGUUGCCCGGAAUUAUUGGGCGUAAAGAGCUCGUAGGCGGGUUGUUACGUCUGCUGUGAAAACCUAGGGCUUAACCCUGGGCUUGCAGUGGAUACGGGCAGACUAGAGGUAGGUAGGGGAGAAUGGAAUUCCUGGUGUAGCGGUGAAAUGCGCAGAUAUCAGGAGGAACGCCGGUGGCGAAGGCGGUUCUCUGGGCCUUACCUGACACUGAGGCGCGAAAGCGUGGGGAGCGAACAGG